rnacentral:rRNA from 1 species
AACGUAGGAGGCAAGCGUUAUCCGGAUUUACUGGGCGUAAAGCGUGUGUAGGCGGUUCGGCAAGUUGGAUGUGAAAGCUCCUGGCUUAACUAGGAGAGGUCGUUCAAUACUACCGAACUUGAGGGCAUCAGAGGAGAGUGGAAUUCCCGGUGUAGUGGUGAAAUGCGUAGAUAUCGGGAGGAACACCAGUGGCGAAGGCGGCUCUCUGGGAUGUUCCUGACGCUCAGACACGAAAGCUAGGGUAG